GUUCAUUAUCAAAGAUGAAAAAUUCUUUUCAAGCUCCGCUUAUUGGUCGUGUUAUGCUCACAAUUCUUCUUUUCGGAGUAACGACGAUUGCCCAGAAAAGAGGACCACCAUCAAAACCAAAAACUUGUUAUGGUUGCAGCUAGUUCAUGACUCCAUUUGCAAGCCUCACGGAUAAUUUCGUUACCCUCGACUGCAAGAUCACGUCUCUCGUUGCGAGCUUGUAUAACUCAAAUAAUAUUUAUAAUAAUACAUGCCUUUAUCAAAGAAAAAAAUAACAAUAUUAUUAAUUGUUGUUUGUUUUGUAGCAUAAUAAAGUGUAUUAAGUUUC